rnacentral:rRNA from 1 species
UACGUAGGGUGCGAGCGUUAAUCGGAAUUACUGGGCGUAAAGAGUGCGCAGGCGGCCGAGCAAGUCGAGUGUGAAAGCCCCGAGCUUAACUUGGGAACUGCGCUCGAAACUACUUGGCUAGAGUGUGGCAGAGGGAGGUGGAAUUCCACGUGUAGCGGUGAAAUGCGUAGAGAUGUGGAGGAACACCGAUGGCGAAGGCAGCCUCCUGGGCCAACACUGACGCUCAUGCACGAAAGCGUGGGGAGCAAACAGG